UGCCCAAAAGUUGGGUACCCCUCUUCCACAUGCCAAGAAAAAGUGAUGGUGACUUAAAGAUUGAAGAUUAAGGAGAAGAAGAAAAAGAAGGCUGCUAAUCAAGAAGUUGAUCCUACAGUCCUGAUUAAGGAGUUGAUCAAAGUAUUCAAGGCUGAGAUUUUUCUUAGGAAGAAGAGUCUUCUAUGAGGAAAAAAGUUCGAGAUCGAUUCUGAUGGAUACCCA
rnacentral:lncRNA from 1 species